GGCGAUCAGAUACCGCCCUAGUUCUGACCGUAAACGAUGCCAACUAGCGAUCCGCCGGCGGAUUCAUUCGCCCUGGUGGGGAGCUUCCCGGAAACGAAAGUCUUCCGGUUCCGGGGGAAGUAUGGUUGCAAAGCUGAAACUUAAAGGAAUUGACGGAAGGGCACCACCAGGAGUGGAGCCUGCGGCUUAAUUUGACUCAACACGGGGAAACUCACCCGGCCCGGACACCGUAAGGAUUGACAGAUUGAUAGCUUUUUCAUGAUUCGGUGGAUGGUGGUGCAUGGCCGUUCUUAGUUCGUGGAGCGAUUUGUCUGGUUUAUUCCGAUAACGAGCGAGACUCUGGCCUACUAAAUAGUUGGCACAUUGCCACUGUGUGCACAACUUCUUAGAGGGAUUUUCGGUGCUCAGCCGCACGAAAUUGAGCAAUAACAGGUCUGUGAUGCCCUUAGAUGUCCGGGGCUGCACGCGCGCUACACUGGCAAAAUCAGCGUGCUUGUCCUCCCCCGAAAGGGGUUGGUAAACCGAUGAAAAUUUGCCGUGAUUGGGAUCGGACAUUGCAAUUAUUGUCCGUGAACGAGGAAUCCCUUGUAAGGGCGAGUCAUCAACUCGUCCUGAAUACGUCCCUGCCCUUGUA
rnacentral:rRNA from 1 species